GACGAACGCUGGCGGCGUGCCUAACACAUGCAAGUCGAGCGAACAGACGAGGAGCUUGCCCCUCGGACGUUAGCGGCGGAGGGGUGAGUAACACGUGGAGAACAUACCUAUAAGAACGGGCUAACUACGUGAGACCAGCGCUAAUAAAGCGUAAUAUAUUGCACCGCAAAGCACAAUAGUAAAAGACGGAAUUGUCGACACUUAUAGAUGGAACCGCGCCGCAUUAGCUAGUUUGCAAGUUAACGGCUUACCAAGGUAACUAUGCGUAGCCGACCUGAGAGGGUGGUCGGCUACACUGGAACUGAGGCACAGUCCAGACUCCUACGGUAGGCAGCAGUCCGGAAUCUUCCGCGAUGGGGGAGUGCCUGACGGAGCAACGCCGCGUGAGUGAUGAUGCUCUUCGGAUCCUAGAACUCUGUUGUUUUUGAAGAACUAAUGUGUAAGUAAAUAUGCACGUAUUGACGGUACCUAAUCAGAAAGCCCCGGCUAACUACGUG
rnacentral:rRNA from 1 species